rnacentral:piRNA from 1 species
AAUGGGUUAUGUAUCUCCUCAAGG